rnacentral:rRNA from 1 species
AUGAACGCUGGCGGCGUGCUUAACCCAUGCCAGUCGAACGGUGAACACGGAGCUUGCUCUGUGGGAUCAGUGGCGAACGGGUGAGUAACACGUGAGCAACCUGCCCCUGACUCUGGGAUAAGCGCUGGAAACGGCGUCUAAUACUGGAUAUGUGACGUGACCGCAUGGUCUGCGUUUGGAAAGAUUUUUCGGUUGGGGAUGGGCUCGCGGCCUAUCAGCUUGUUGGUGAGGUAAUGGCUCACCAAGGCGUCGACGGGUAGCCGGCCUGAGAGGGUGACCGGCCACACUGGGACUGAGACACGGCCCAGACUCCUACGGGAGGCAGCAGUGGGGAAUAUUGCACAAUGGGCGCAAGCCUGAUGCAGCAACGCCGCGUGAGGGAUGACGGCCUUCGGGUUGUAAACCUCUUUUAGCAGGGAAGAAGCGAAAGUGACGGUACCUGCAGAAAAAGCGCCGGCUAACUACGUG